GGACGAAGCUUCAGACAUAUUGUCCAUUAAGGACAAAGUAAACAGUCUAACUGACAUCGGUGUUCUGUUCUCCUUUAAGGAGCUCGGGAACCCAAGGGUAGUUCUUGUGCUUAACGUUGAGAAAGCCUGCAGUUGGAACCAGUUGACACAGUAUCUG